rnacentral:rRNA from 1 species
AAUAGAUACCCGGUAGUCCACGCCGUAAACGAUGAGUGCUAAGUGUUAGAGGGUUUCCGCCCUUUAGUGCUGCAGCUAACGCAUUAAGCACUCCGCCUGGGGAGUACGGUCGCAAGACUGAAACUCAAAGGAAUUGACGGGGGCCCGCACAAGCGGUGGAGCAUGUGGUUUAAUUCGAAGCAACGCGAAGAACCUUACCAGGUCUUGACAUCCUCUGACAACUCUAGAGAUAGAGCGUUCCCCUUCGGGGGACAGAGUGACAGGUGGUGCAUGGUUGUCGUCAGCUCGUGUCGUGAGAUGUUGGGUUAAGUCCCGCAACGAGCGCAACCCUUGAUCUUAGUUGCCAGCAUUUAGUUGGGCACUCUAAGGUGACUGCCGGUGACAAACCGGAGGAAGGUGGGGAUGACGUCAAAUCAUCAUGCCCCUUAUGACCUGGGCUACACACGUGCUACAAUGGAUGGUACAAAGGGCUGCAAGACCGCGAGGUCAAGCCGAUCCCAUAAAACCAUUCUCAGUUCGGAUUGUAGG